UGAGGAAUAUUGGUCAAUGGGCGCAAGCCUGAACCAGCCAUGCCGCGUGCAGGAUGAAGCAUCUAUGGUGUGUAAACUGCUUUUGUACGGGAAGAAACACCUCUACGUGUAGAGGCUUGACGGUACCGUAAGAAUAAGGAUCGGCUAACUCCGUGCCAGCAGCCGCGGUAAUACGGAGGAUCCAAGCGUUAUCCGGAAUCAUUGGGUUUAAAGGGUCCGUAGGCGGUUGUAUAAGUCAGUGGUGAAAUCCGGCAGCUCAACUGUCGAACUGCCAUUGAUACUGUAGAACUUGAAUUAUUGUGAAGUAACUAGAAUAUGUAGUGUAGCGGUGAAAUGCUUAGAUAUUACAUGGAAUACCCAUUGCGAAGGCAGGUUACUAACAAUUGAUUGACGCUGAUGGACGAAAGCGUGGGGAGCGAACAGG
rnacentral:rRNA from 1 species